UUUCAUUAUAUUGCGCGUUGGGAAUGAUUUACUCAUGGGUAUGGCAGUUGAGGUGUCUGAUGAAAUCCACCUGAUUUUUAAUACUAAGAGUGAAUCAUUCCCAACGCGCAAUAUAAUGAAAUCCUCCUUUAUGAUUCAAAAAAAAGGGGUACAAAGGGAAGCUUAUCACCAAGGAGGUAAGGAUGCAAAAACUGGCCCCAUAUUUCAACACCCAAAAGACCAAACAGGUAACACUUCCCAACCCAUCCAAUAAGGAUUCUUUCUUUUUCAACAGUGGCGCUUAAAGAUCCCAGUGAACUCAAUUGUUUACCUGUCUUCGCUGAUACAGUCACUUUAGCUGCUGCAUCCUUGGUGAUUUGUGCAGAAAAGCUGUGCCACAUUAAAAUGGAAUGUAAUAGCAAUAACAACACUUUGAUGGGAUAUUCCUGAGCCUCGUAUAGAAGUGGAAACAGUGAGUAGCAUGAAACUAUAGCUAGCAAGAAGUAAUGCCUUGCAUCUUCCAAACUGUGCACUGCAACAAUAGACAAAGGGACGACAAAGUGGAGUGAUGCUUUUUCAUGAACAUGCCACCCAAAUAAAAAGCCACAUGUAUAAGCAUAAGCAAUCCAUCUUGCAACCAACUGCGGUUGGGGAUUCUUCCAUGCCUUAAAAAGGCAAGGAGAUAAGGCAAGCAAGACCAUGAUGAAGGUUGUAAUGGGAGUGAUCUUAGGCAAUACAGAAAAUGGUGGUGAAUCACCCACCAAACCACCAGUAAAUGAAGCUGCUGGCGCUUGGAUGUUCAAACCAAGUUUUCUGAGAAAUAUAGCUAGCCCUUUAUCUAAUGCAAUAUAAAACACCCAAAAAUUUGGGGCCCAGUAUGCAUGGCAAAGCCCCCUGCCAAAAGGAAACAUGCGGCUGAUAACUUGUUGUAUCUGUCCAUGAUACAAAAAUGGACCAUAUGCAGCAGCAAAAAC
rnacentral:misc_RNA from 1 species